GAGCCAAGAGUUACAACAGCCAGGGGCUCUGUGACCCCUCUACUCCAACAAGACAAGGAUCAAAGUGGACAUGACAUGGAGCAGAGUGGCAGGGGGAACCUCUCUGGCAGGGCGAAGCUGGGGAGCUGCACAGUAGAGGGAGUGUGAAGAGCCAAGAAGGACUGGUAGCCUGGGAAGGCAGUCCACUGCCAAGGUGUCCCAAUGCCAUGGGCAGGAGAAACAUUUGGGUACAGAGACACACACUAGAGGCUUUAGUUGCCCACCCAGACCACAGAAGACUGGGGACCAAACAGUUGGGUGCCUGGCACCACUUGGAAUGACAUCGUGGGAUGCCACUGGUUUUACUGAGCCACCUCCACUCCUCUAGCAAUACUGACCCAUUUGAUAAGAAAAGCCACACUGUGACAUCCAAGGCUGAGACUUAAGACAUCUGUAGUUUCUGCUCUUGGGCGCUAGAAAUGCUACGAUCUAGACUAUGCUAUGAGAAGCUCAAGCCGUGGGGAAAGACCAAAUGGAGGAGAACUAAGGUACUCUGGCUGACAGCCCUGUGGAACCUCCAGUCCAGAGCCAACGCUGGCUGCCAGCCACGUUGGUGAGCCCACUUAACAGUGCCAUCUUAGCGAAGCCCCUGCUGGACUGCAGCCCCAUCAAACACCAUGUGGAGCAGAAGAACCUUCCAGGUGAGCCCAGUCGACCCAUAAAAUCAUGAAACGCAAUGAACAGUCGUUGUUAUUUGAAGCCACUGAAUUUCUCAGUGUGGUUUGUUAUACAGCAUUGGAUCAGCAAAACACUCCCUGAUUUGGAACAAGGCAGCCUGUAUUUACUGGAAAGUGAAACCAAUUCAAAAUUCUGCUCAUCCUCAGGAAUACCAAAGUGGACAGAAAUAAGACUUUCUGCCUCCCAGGCAAUUCCCAAGAGAAACAGCUUAGCUGGCUGUGGAAGAAUUAAUAAGAACAAUGCAGUAAAGUGAGAUGAAGUGUGCUAUGUCAGCAGUGUCACUGGCCAAGUGUGCAAAAACCAUCGUGCCAUUAAAGUAAGCAAUUCAAUUACUACAAUAUGUACAAAGCGAAAUAAUCAACCUGCAGUUUGAUGAGAAGAGUGUAUAAAAUCAGUAGCUAUAAAGAAUGCGGUGGAACCAAUAAAGUUUAUGAAAAUGGAA